CCAGCGGAGUCGUAUAUUUUAACCGAGCUGAGGUUCAUUCAUCGAUAAAUUGAGCCCAAGGAAUCGACUUCCUUCCAAGCCUUCCAAGCAGUCCAAGGAAACCAAUUUAAAAAGGAACAGGAAACUAACUGACCAACAGCAUCUGUCCUUGAAGCACUGGCGGCACAAUCUGGGAACGUGUGAGGCACCCUGGAGGCGUGAGGCUCUCCUCGAUUAAGGCUCACUGACCUCGAGCCCACCCUAAAGGACCCCGGGAUCCCCCAGCCGGCUUUCCUCGCCCCCUGCCAGGCGGAAAACCCCAGCCAAGCCGGCACGCGGGAGACGGGCGAGGAGGCGCCAGCGGGGCAACUGGGCAUGCUCAGAAGCUGGGCAGGUUUGGGUCUCAACCAGGCAGCUUGUGCAUUACACCAGCGCUAGCAGCGCUAGGAGGAGGAGGAGGAGGAACGCGAGCAGGAGGAGGAGGAGGAGGAACGCUAGGAGGAAGGGGAGGAAGAGAGGGCCAGCAGUAGCCGCGACCGCCACCACCAGGCAAGGAAGAGUUCGUGGGGAGGGACAGACCCUCCUCCCACUAGGAGCGUCUUCUGUCUGCUUUUGGAAAAGGGCAAUACAAAAUAAGGGAGAUAGAAAGGAGAAGGGGAAAAAAGUGAGAGGGCAGACGGGGGGAAAGGGCGUGAACAGAAAGGACCGGAGCGUGCAAGAGAACUCAGGGCGCGGGGGCUGCUCUCCCUAGUCCGGGGCGCUGCCUUUGGGGCAGGUGCUGCUGCUGCUGCCCAGUGGCGGCAUGUGAUGAGCGGCCGCAACUGCCCGCGGGCGGAGUGCUCUCGGACCCGGGAGCGCACACCGCGGGGCAAGUCGGUGCCAUCCCGGAUCCCCGUGCUCUUCGUUGGUCCGCCACGGCAGCAGCAGCGCUUCUGGGAAGACCCGCGAUGAAUCGAAGGGCGGCUCCGGCCAGGGACACCAGAGACUAAGGACAGCAGCUCCCUGAACGUCCACCGGCAGAAGACCAAGAGAUCGUGGACCAGACGACCCAGUGCUCUGGGCAGGCGCGGAGGACCGGCGUGGGACGGCCACCUGGAGCGCAGCUGCCAGAUAUGCAGAGUAAUGGCACAUACUUCCGUUACAAGUUGCUCAGUGGCCUAUGGACUGAAUGAAUGUAUCCAUCCCCAUCAUGAUGUACAACAUCAAGGCUCUUCACAACACCUGUGUUCUGAUUAGUGGCCAAAUAAGUGACAUUUGGAACCUCAGCUAAAGUACAGUAAGCUUUUAUGGUGGCAUGGCACCUGGUUUCUCUCUCCAAGGAAAGUCCAGCCAACAGCCCUUGACACACUGGAUUGUUUGAUGAUCCCACCUGAAGUAGCCCAUCUGAUUCUCCACAGCCCACCCUGAUCCUGAGGGCUCAUCUUUCACCUUGAAAAGAUACUUGUGCUUGGAAUUCCCACCAGAAUAUUAAAUCAACGCCUCCGAUACCGAGGCUGGGGCUGCAGAAUUUUGAACAUUUCCUCAGACGAUUGUGACAUGCAGCCCGUCUCCCGUGUCUUCACGGCUCUCUGUGUUGGCGGUCAUCACCCUUGUCCAAGCCACAUUCACCACUUCCUUCUUGUACCGUCUUUCACGAGAGUCCCUGGUUCUCUUUCCCAUUUCCACCUCGUCCCUGUUCAAUCCAUCCUAGGCCCAGCAGCCAGAAUAAACAUAUUUAUAGGAAAGUAUCAGUUAAUUCCUGCCUAAUAAUAGUAAUAAUAAUAAUGGAUGAGGAUCACUUAUACAUUGAACAAAGGAUCAGAGUUCAGGCUUUGCCCAAGGCCAGAGUCCUGGGGUUUUUAAGUUUUAGGAGGAAAUAGAGGAAAGGGUCUAAAAGCAGCAAGUGAAGAGACCAAGGCUGAUUACUCCACUUUCUUCUCUGGCCUGUUGCCCAAUCUGAGUGUUGGAUAAAUUGCCACCCAAUCUGUGUCCCCAUCUCACUUGACCAUAAGGAGCAAAGAGAUAUUAUAAUUUGGUGGUGACACUAUUGCAAGACUAACUUCAUGUCACAGCCUCCAAAGUUCACUAAAUGUCCUUCCUUUGUACUUGAAUGAUUCACUUAGCAAAAUAAGUUGAUCUUGGUGAAUUUUCAGGCAGAGUCACAGAACUAGAGAUGUCUUCUGCUGUCAGACAUGUGGACGACUGUCCUUUUCACCAAGGGAUAAGGGAUAAUGUACCUCUUAACAUCCACCUGAACUACAGCAGGAACAGACUUUUCUCUAGGGACUACCUAAAGUAUUAUUUCAGCCACUGCACUUAGUCUUCACCCCCUAGCAUGGUAUCUAGUGCAUUUCCCAUCAGAAGGGAGGUGACAGGGGUGUCAAAAGAAAGUUUUCUUCAGAAAAGUCACCCUGGGAGGCAUAGUGAUGUUAUUGCCAUCAGGGUUUAGUAAGGAAUCAAGAAAUUCAAACCCUACCAAAGCUGCAUGGAAAUCUGGGUCCACAUCAGCACUGCUGGAGCAGGACAGUGACAACUUUGACUUCAUACUGGUGACAACUUUUGCCUUCACUUUAAAACCAUCACUGUUUUAUGGUUUUCACUAUUAAAAAAAAAAAAAAAAGUUCAAGGCCCUGUGUUGAAAGAAUAGUGAAAUUGUUCACGUGUUGUUCAGAUAAUUGAGACCAACCAAGGCAGGUAGUCAGCCAGCUGGUAUUGAGUUAAGGCUGAGGCCCAGCUGCUUCUUUACCCUGAGCUGUUUUCAUUAGUGAAGCGGAAGUGCAUUUGGGGACCUAAAUUGCCCAAAGGAUAGGCCUGUGUGGAGCUAUCUUGAGUUUAAGAAAACAGUUGUCCUUUUAAGUUUUCUCUUAAAUAUUUAUUUUGGGAUAGAAAUGGAGACUAAAAUACAGAGACACACAAACAUACUGAACAUCCCUGGAGACAUAUUAUGGAGCACUGCUUAUUCAUGCAAUGUCUUUCUGUUCCCUUUGGGGACCAAGACGGACUGGCCUGUGUACAGCUCCCUUCCAUGGUGAACAGAGCUGUAAUGAGGUCACAGAUUCUUUUCAUGUCAUUUUGGAAAUUUCUCUGAAAGGACUCAGUUGGCAAUGGAUGCCCCUUACAAUCUAGUGUUACAUAUUAGCACAGGCAAAGCUUUUCAAAUAAUGUAAAGCCAUUUUUUUUUCCCAAAUGCCUUGUAUCCCUGAGUGUCUAGGUUCCAAAUAAAGGAAGAUUAAAAUCUCUGUGAAAUCUAUAAUAGAGCCACCACAUGGAACUGUCAGCAGGAGGGGAAUUAAUGGUGUCUGAAAUGAACCUUGGGUUGAAUGUACGUCACCUUGCAUAUUCUACUAUUUUUUUUUAUUUGCCAUUAAUUCCCUUUAAUCAGGGAGGUUGGCUGAAACUGAAGCACCAUUGGUUAGGAUUCAUUAAAAUAAUCUAAUGUAAAAUGGAAGUGUAUUCUGUUUUUAUUACAGUGCAGGUACAAUAUGGACACUGGAUAAUGUUGAGUUGAUGGUGAAGAUUUGUAUUACUUUAUGCUGACACACCAAAUGACUCAAAAAUGUGCAUUUGUCAGUAGAUACUUACUAUCAUAUCAACCUUUUUUUUAUUCCUAUCAUUUUGGGGGCACUCUAUAGUAACUCUUAAGAGUGAUUAUUUUAGAAGAAAGAAAUGGACUCUUCCAGCCUCCUCCAUGCUUGGACCAUGUUAGACUUAUAUAAAUACUUGUGAAGUGAGUAAAUGGAUAAUUCAGAUGCAUUUUUAUUUUAAAUACAAGCAAAUGAAAUCACACCACAGCUAGGAACAGACUUAACCAAUGAAAUAGACACAUAAAGCAAUGAGCAAUAAAAAUGGAGAUUCGUCAGGUUAUAGACACAUCUGGGAGGCUCUGCUGAAGCAAAGAGCUGGGCAUCACUUUUAAAGGACUUGCGCAGAGCCAAAGGCCACAAAAACUAAUAUUUUUGUUAGCAGCUCAUCUUGAUUUUACUAAGGAAUGGCUACCGGCUUCUCAUUUCUCCUUCCCCAAUAUUUUUUUCUUUAAGGCCUUUUUUUUUUCUUGUUCCUGCCAUUUUGAGGAUAUAUUCUAAUGUAAAGAAUCCUGAUUGAGGCCUCUUAUCUCUAACAAUUUUGCUAGAUCCAUGUGAACAAACACUAAGAGAAAAAGUUCUGUAGCAUCCUUGUAAACUAGUCUGAUACAAAAGCAGGAAUACUUGUAAACUAUCACAUAGCUUCUGCUCUUAUCCAGUCAAGUAAUAGAUAUCUGUAUCUACAUAUCCCAUUAACUUAAAAAACAUUGCUUUGUUUUUCUUUUCCCAAAACUAUUUUACCGAGCUGGUUUUCAACGAAGAUGUAAUGACUCAAUUCUUUAACUUUCUUCAAACCAUCAUUAAUGCAAUAUUUAUAGUGUAAAGCUAAGGUUAUUCACGUGGAGUAAACACACCGUGCAUGCUUCGUGCUCGAGUCCAUCUUCCUCUGAGACAGGUGAUGUUGUGCAUCCGUGCAUUUGUGGUCUAAAGUGCCUUCACACAGUGGGUCAGCAGUUCCGUGGUGACGGCGUGAGCUUUGCCUCUAGCAGUCCUGGUUCACACCCUAGAUUAAAACGUGCUCUUUGCCUGUCCUUGUUUCUUGACUCAUCCUCUGCAUGCCCUCUCUGCCCAUGAGGACAACAGGGCCCACUUAGGGGCUACUGAGAGGACCCAGUGAAAUGAAGUACACAGAAUGCUUGCUCCAUGACUAGGCAAGGGAAGAGUCCAAGAGUGGUGAUUUGAAUAGGCAUUAAAAGUUUGCUUUUAAUACAAACAUUUUAAGUUUUUGAAAAUAAUAUUUGCCACUAACAUUUUGAAGAGACUAUAUGUCUUUGAAUUAGUUUUUAUUCUAAAGUCUACUUAUAUUCUCCUUUCCUAUAUCCAGUC